rnacentral:rRNA from 1 species
AUUGAACGCUGGCGGCAGGCCUAACACAUGCAAGUCGAGCGGAUGAAGGGAGCUUGCUCCUGGAUUCAGCGGCGGACGGGUGAGUAAUGCCUAGGAAUCUGCCUGGUAGUGGGGGAUAACGUCCGGAAACGGGCGCUAAUACCGCAUACGUCCUGAGGGAGAAAGUGGGGGAUCUUCGGACCUCACGCUAUCAGAUGAGCCUAGGUCGGAUUAGCUAGUUGGUGGGGUAAAGGCCUACCAAGGCGACGAUCCGUAACUGGUCUGAGAGGAUGAUCAGUCACACUGGAACUUGGACACGGUCCAGGCUCCUACGGGAGGCAGCAGUGGCGAAUAUUGGACAAUGGUCGAAAGCCUGAUCCAGCCAUGCCGCGUGUGUGAAGAAGGUCUUCGGAUUGUAAAGCACUUUAAGUUGGGAGGAAGGGCAGUAAGUUAAUACCUUGCUGUUUUGACGUUACCAACAGAAUAAGCACCGGCUAACUUCGUG